GACGAACGCUGGCGGCGUGCUUAACACAUGCAAGUCGAACGGGCCUGCCUGGCUUUGGUUGGGUGGGUGAGUGGCGAACGGGUGAGUAACACGUGAGUAACCUGCCCUCUUCUCUUGGAUAACUGCUUGAAAGGGCGGCUAAUACGGGAUGUUCUGGCUGCCUCGCAUGGGGUGGUUUGGAAAGAUUCGGCCUGGUUUUGGUUGUUUUGGUGGGGGAUGGGCUCGCGGCUUAUCAGCUUGUUGGUGGGGUGAUGGCCUACCAAGGCGGUGACGGGUAGCCGGCCUGAGAGGGUGGACGGUCACACUGGGACUGAGACACGGCCCAGACUCCUCGGGAGGCAGCAGUGGGGGAUUUUGCACAAUGGGCGCAAGCCUGAUGCAGCGACGCCGCGUGAGGGAUGGAGGCCUUCGGGUUGUGAACCUCUGUCGCCGGUGAUGUAGGCUCUGCUUUGUGGGUGGGGUGACGGUA
rnacentral:rRNA from 1 species